CCCUCACAAAUAAAGAACAUCUCAAACAAAACCCAAAAGAAAUGGAUUGUUUAAAAAAGUCUUCUCUUUUUUCUUUGCCAAUUUUUUUGUUAUAUUUCUCCAUAAUUUUAUCUUUCAACAAUGGCGUUAAUGCUUCACACAAAGUUUUUCCAGGGUUGCAAUCUACAAGCACGGUUGAUGUGAAAAAUGUUCAUAGAACUGGUUAUCAUUUUCAACCUCCUAAAAACUGGAUCAAUGGUACGUACAUUUUUUCAUACCUUCAUUUAUAUAAAUAUUAUUGUACGAUUUAAGUUAUACAUUUCGAUAAUAUAAUAUUUUUUUAAUGUUAUUAGUACAAUAGUAUACUACAAUUAACAUGUAAGAACAGGUUAUAAUUUUGUGGUGCAUAUAUAUAUGUAUGUGAGAUAAGAUACGAUCAUUGCAUUCUAUAAUUAUGACCUCAUGAUUUUUAUCUUUUUGCUGUGUUUCUGAAUAACUAGAUUUUGUUUAUUCAGCUAUAAUUGGUCAUUGACUGGAAAUAUUAAUAUUCAGUUAUUUUAAUUUCUUACUCUGAUGGCUUUUGAGUUAAUGUCUAUCGGAAAUAGUCUCUCUACCUCCUCGAGGUAAUGGUAAGAUUUGUGUACGUUUUAACCUCUCUGGAUUCAUUUUAGUGAAAUUUCAUUAGAUAUGUUAUUGUUGUUGUACGGCUUUCGAGUUAAUGAAACUAAGUAUGUAAAAAAAACUUAAGUAUGUGGUUGCGGAUGGUUGAGAUUUUAUCCACGCUUAAUCAGUGAUUUCAAGUUCGACUUGUUAAGAAUGAAAAAAAAUAUAUUGAAAACGCCAAUCUUAAAGAUGGACACUGUAAUGUACGAAUUCAAAUUUUAUCGUAUGUCUCAACUCUCAACGUAGAUAUCCAACAUCGAAGGAAGGAAAAAGAUGAAACUACGUGAUAUUCAUACCUUUUUUGGAAGUACUUUUGGUGUUAUAGGUUUGUCAAUGAUUUGUUUCUUGUCUGUGUAUGUUUUAUUUUUAUUUUAUAGAAGAAGAAAAUAUUUAAAUAAGAAAUAUUAAACUGCUGGAAAUAAAUAUACUUCACUUGUUUUUGAACCACCACAUUGUGGCAAGCAACUCUAGUAAGUAGCAUUCACGUAAAUAUAAUGGAUAUUGUACUCAACAUGUACAUACUAAUUAAUAUAUAGUAUGUAUUAUACAUCUCAUCACAUGUGGGUUGGAUUUUAUAGAGACCACUGUUGGAGGCCAAGUUGUGUAUGUAAUCUAAUUGAUAAUAAUGUAUUCCUAGGGUGAAGUCAGAAAUUUCGGGUGUUCAAGAUUUAAUAUAUAUAUGUAUGAAUAAUAAAUUUUGACUUAUAUAUAAGGGUGUUUGAUUGAUCAUCCUGAACUAUCCCUCCAUUUCAAUUUACUUGUUUUACUUUUCGUCUUAAUUCAUUUUUUUUUCUUUUUUGACAACUAUUAUCUGAUUCCUAAUAGCUUUUCACAUAACUUAUUUAAGAUCUACGCAAUUGAAAAAUAUUUUAGUACAUCUACAAAUAUUAAAGACCACAAAAUUUAAAAGUUUACGUUAUUUUCUUAAACUCUGUGUCAAGUCAAAUGACAAAAUUUCAAAACUUCUAAAUAUCGUAACGAGCAAUGUAUUAAGUGAUAAGUUCAAAAUUCAUAAAUUUCAAAUCUCGACUUGUUUCCCUCUGACUAGGGUUGGGAUUUGCUAAGUGACUGGGAAAUCUCCUCUAUGAAAGUUUUAAAUAACCUUAGCUUUUUCUUAAACAUUCGUACUAGAAUCUAGUCAAACACCUUCACAUAAAUUGAAACGGAAUUGACUUUAUAAUUUCUUUGUUCUGGAAGAUCAUAGCCAUCUUGUUUACUUCAUAUUUGUUUCCUUUGAGAUUUGAUUAAACUAAAUUCAUUUAAUUUGUAAACAUAUAUAUCUUAUCAUAAUUUCAUUAAGUUAUAUAUUUGCUAAUGAAUAUUUUAUUUGCAUGCAUGGCCACCAUCGGAUGCUUCAAACGAACACAGAUCCCAAUGGUGAGUUAGAAAAUUUCCCCCUUUUAGUAAUUUUGUUAAAUUUAAUAAUUGCAUAUUUAUUUAAUUAUCUUUUUUAUUUAUAAUUAAUUAUCUUUUUUUCUAAUAUAAUCUUUUAUACCAAACAGCCCCAAUGUACUAUAAUGGUGUCUAUCAUCUAUUCUACCAAUACAAUCCAUAUGGAUCAGUUUGGGGAAAUAUUGUUUGGGCCCAUUCAGUUUCAACCGACUUGAUUAAUUGGAUCCCACUUGAGCCCGGAAUCUAUCCAUCCGAAGUAUUUGACAAAUAUGGUACAUGGUCCGGGUCAGCCACAAUCUUACCCAACAACAAGCCCAUUAUCCUCUACACCGGAAUCGUCGAUGCAAAAAAUACCCAAGUCCAAAACUAUGCAAUCCCAGCCAACAUAUCCGAUCCAUUUCUUCGUAAAUGGAUCAAGCCCGAUAACAACCCAUUAAUUGUCGCUGACGUUAGCAUUAACAAGACCCAAUUCCGUGACCCAACCACAUGUUGGUUGGGUCAGGAUGGUUAUUGGAGAACCUUGAUAGGGAGUGUGUGGGGAAAACAAGGAUUGGCAAUAUUGUAUAAAAGUAAAAAUUUCAUGAAAUGGACCAAGAUUCAACAUCCACUUCAUUCAGUUGACGGUACUGGAAAUUGGGAAUGUCCUGAUUUUUUUCCAGUGUUAUUGCAUGGUACAAAUGGAUUGGAUGCCUCAUACAACAAGAAAAAUAUUAAACAUGCUCUUAAAGUUAGUCUUGAUGUUACGAGGUUUGAAUACUAUACAGUUGGUAUAUAUGAUACAAAAAAAGAUAGGUAUAUUCCAGAUAAGACUUCUAUCGAUGGUUGGAAGGGAUUGAGGCUUGAUUAUGGUAAUUAUUAUGCAUCUAAAUCAUUCUAUGACCCUAGCAAAAAUCGAAGAAUUAUGUGGGGUUGGGCUAAUGAAUCAGAUACUGUCAAUGACGAUGUCAAGAAAGGAUGGGCAGGAAUUCAAACUAUUCCCCGCAAAUUAUGGCUUGAUCCUAGUGGAAAGCAAUUGGUCCAAUGGCCUGUCGAAGAAUUAGAAACUCUAAGAGAGCAAAAGGUGCAAUUAAGUAAUCGCAAGUUAAACAAAGGAGAUAAAAUUGAAGUUAAAGGAAUCACACCUGCACAGGUUUGAAUUUCUUGUUUUUUUUUUUUUUUCAUUUUGUAUCAUAUUGUUGCAUAAAAAAAAGAGUCUAAAUUAGGGAGUCAAUGAGAAUUGCAGGCUGAUGUUGAAGUGACAUUUUCAUUUUCAAGUUUGGAUAAGGCAGAGCCAUUUGAUCCCAAUUGGGAUAACCUUUAUGCUCAAGAUGUAUGCGCCAUUAAAGGCUCAACGGUGCAAGGGGGACUUGGGCCAUUUGGGCUCUUAACUUUGGCUUCUCAAAAUUUGGAAGAAUAUACGCCAGUAUUUUUCAGAGUUUUUAAGGCCCAAGAUAAAUAUAAGGUUCUCAUGUGCUCUGAUGCCUCAAGGUUUGUUUAUUUUUUCUUUCAGUCUUACACCUUAACGACAUAAAUUAGGAUUAAACAAGUUCUAUUUAGUUUAACUCAUAGUGAUCAUUUAUAUAUCUAAUAUAUUUCUAUAUAUGAGGUUUAUUAUUGGAGGUUCAAAAUCCACAUAACUCAUUAUCAAUAGUUUUGGUAAAUCUAUUAUAGUUUAAAGUCUAAACUCAUUAUUUAACUUUAAGUUAUCUAUUUAUUUUUCUUUUGUAUGAUGAUCAGAUCAACCCUCAAGAAUGAUAAGACAAUGUACAAGCCAUCAUUUGCUGGAUAUGUAGAUGUAGAUUUAACAAACAAGACAUUGUCUUUGAGGAGUUUGGUAAGUUUUUUUCAUUUAUUUUCCAAGAAAAUAAAUUCAUUUCUCCCAUAUUCUUUAUUUAUGUAUAUCCCCAUACUGUAUUUUAUUGAUCUCACUUCCUAUUUUUAUUUACAGAUUGAUCACUCAGUAGUAGAAAGCUUUGGUGCCGGAGGAAAAACAUGUAUCACAUCAAGGGUUUAUCCGACAUUAGCAAUUUAUGAUAAUGCACAUCUAUUUGUCUUUAAUAAUGGGACAGAGACUAUCAAAAUUAAGUCAUUGAAUGCAUGGACCAUGGGUAAACCUAAGAUGAAUUGGUCAUUUGGUCACUCUUCUUAUUGAUGAUGAUAACACUUUGUAAUAAGUUCCACAUUUUUGUGGUGACAUAUUUGAUUGCUCAAACAUUUUGAUGUUUGUUUUGGUGAAUUUUGCUCGAUAUAUUCUAUAUGGUAUCUAAGCAGACAUCUGUUUUCUUUUCGUAUCAAAUAUGAAUAAUAUGGUGAAUAUUGUUAUACACUAGACCUUUUGUGUGAAAGUGUUUUGAGAGACAUAUAGUUAUAACUUAUAACACACAAUAUCUCUAUAUGUUGUGGAUCCAUACACUGCCAAAAACAUGAAAAAAUCAAGAUAAAGCUGGCUCCUUUUUCUGGCAAAAAACCAUAGCCUCAUAUAGACUGAUCAAGUACCCCAAUGCCAACGUUAAGUUUGUACAUAUAUAUAUAGUCAACUAAUUAAUUAACAAGAUCGAUGACUUAUAUGAAUAGCUAAAGGACAUGACAUGUGAACACUAUAUGCCAAUAGUCCAAUGAAUUUUGCAAGUUGCAAUAUUUGAGGUUCAUUUUACUUGACUUAAAUUGGAAAGUUGUGAAUCUCUUGUUGUAUAUACCAAUGUGAAAACUAAUACUAUUGGAGUUGGAGGUCACACACACGCACUAUAGAAAUUUACUUAAUACAUAGUCCGAUGUGUCAUUUAAACAUUCGAAUUAAGUCGUUAUAAUUGAACAACUCAGUUUCUAAUAAAGUGUUUUGAUUAGACAUUUUCGAUUAAAUUGUUGAAAAAAAGUUGCACGUGUUUUUAUUCGUGUAUUUGAUAGUUAAGUUAACAAUAUAAAAUGUCAUCUUCUUUAGUUAUAUGCAUCAACCUCGAGUAAACAUGUAGAGGGUUUUAUAGCUUAUUGAGGCGAAUGUAUAAUUAGAGAAAAUGACAUAUUUUAUAUGGUUAACUUAAGCAGCUAAUAGAUGAAUAUUGUGGACACAUGAUUUUAUUUUUCAAAAUUUUAAUAAAAAAUAUGUCUAGUUGAAGUAUUUUAUUAAGAUCCAUAAGAUAAAUCCAAACUCCACUUUCCACUUUUGGUUGGUUCGACCAACUGAUCUAAAAAUUAGUUGACAUCCACAAAAGACAUGCCCAUCGCCCCCAAAUUUUGACGUCAAAAAGUGGUGGAAAUAUUUAUAUAUAAAAUAUAAGUAGAACACAUCGGUUUAGUUUAUUUAUUAUCCGCAUGGCAUAAAGUUUCUUGCAUUUUUUAAAUUAAAAAUAGAGGAAAUUAAAAUAUAGAACUACUAGAAAUUUACUUCUUAAUAUAAAAAGGUUUUCAUUUUUAAAACUUGAUAGAUAUCUAGGUGAAAAAGUUUUAACUAUUAGAAAUUUACCUUUUAUAGUCUAGAAAGAUAAUUGUGAAAAUUAGUCUAAUUUUUUUUUUAAAAUAGCGUGGAACAAUCUUAAAAGACAUUAUAAUACGUUAAAUUGGUGUCCGACUAUAAUACGUUUUAAUGUGUUAUAAACUUAUAACAAUUUUAAAAGGCAUUAUAAUACACAAUUUGCGAUGAAGAUAUUUCACAUAAAAUUGAAGACCCUCUUUGGACACAAGUGCUUGACUAAUUAAACAAUCGACAAUUUUAUAUUGACUAAAAAUAGUUAUUUUGAAAUAUUACUUGUUAUUUCGAAAAGUCAGAAAAAAUUAUAAUUAUUUUCCAAGCUUACCACUAGAAUAAGUUGCUUUAUUCUUUUUAAAAUGAUAAUUAUUUUGAAUCAGUUAUUUAUAUCAAGCACAAUAAUUAAAAUAAAUUAAUCAGACAGAGUAGUAGUGAUAGUGCAAAACAAUUUUAUUUUAUUUUUGUAAAAGUCGUCAAAAUUAUUGAACUCAUAAAAUUCAAAAAAUAUCUUUGCACAUUGGACACACAUGUAGCCUUGAGUGGAAAAACAUAUAGCGAACAACUUUCUAAGACACCAAAUUUGACAAUAGAAAUAAAAGUCUUUGCCAAAUUUCAUCAGUAUAUUAUUACUAAUAAAAAAUUUCGAAAAUUAAUUUAUUUUAUUAAUCUGAAAUCUUAACCAAAAACAUUAUAAAGUUGAUCAGAAGAGGAAAAAGAAGUGAAAAAAGUUGGUCUGAAAUUUAUAUACGUAGCGUUAUAUAAUAAAGAUUACUAUGAAGUAAAUAUAUCAAAGACAAUUAUAGAGGAAGACUAAUAAUUAUUCAACUUCUGAUAAAUAAAUAAACUGAAUUGACUUCCUAUUUAUAGGAAGAAGAAAAAAGUUGUUGCGAAACUUUUCAUCAAGUAAUUGUAAGGCUUUUCAGAAGUUAUUCAUAAGCUACUUAAGCUAGCUACUUGCAACUUGUCUGUUUAAUUGCAAGUCUGAGAAAAUUAUUUACAAGUUAUCUGCUUAAGCUACUUACAAGUUAUUUACUUAAUUUUAUGUUUAUUCAGAAAAUUGUAUAGUAAAUAUCAAUAAUACGAUGUAUUUAUAAUAUGAUAUAUAUAGAUAAUUGUUGUAUGAUGUGUAGUGCACAUAAUUAAAUCUACUCAUUUAGGUUCAAAUGUCAAUAAAUAAUAUUAUGCUAAUCUAUUUUGAGGCUAUCACGUUACUCGCCCCUCUAUCUAGCCCAAAACAUCAUGAUUUUCUUUUCUUUAAUAUUAAUAUAAUAUAAUAUAUAGAGUUGAAGAUUUUUCAAGAUGUUUCCAGCUUUGAAAAAGAAAUUGAGAUAUGAUUUCUCUUGGAUUAAUUCAACGUAGUCCCUUUGAUAAUAUAUAACACAUGUAUCUCUUUAUUAAUUUUAUUGGCAAUUAGUUUUCAUAUCAAAAUUCUAUUAAUUUAUUAUAUUUAAGUUAAAAUAAAAUAAAAUAAGAAUAUUUACUAAGUCAUUACGAUUUAAUAAAAGUUAAGAAUGUAUUGGAGAGGAUAUACUUCUAUUCUUUAAUUUAAAAUGGUUUAAUUUAAUAUUAUCACAUCUUUGAACGAUUUCAUUGAUUCUUUUUAGAUAAUUCCAAUUUUUUUUAAAAGCAGAUAUAGCUGAAAAUUGGUUAUAUUUUAUAUUUAUUUCAUAGAGCGCAAGAAAAAAUAAAUAUUAAAAACAACAUAUCAAGAGGAUAGUCAGUUUCCCUUCUUUCUUCUCAACAGUCAAUUCGAUAAAUUUAGACUGAAUUAAUUUUCUUAGAUUUUAAAUUUAAAUAUUCAGAAAUUAUCUGUAAGAUACUGUUAAUGUAGACUAAAUAUUUUUCAUAUAAUAAUGGAGAAGUACAUCUUGAUCUAAUUUAGGAAAAUGAACCAACAAAAGAUGUGAUACAGUGUAUAGAGUUAAUCUUUUUUAAUCGGGAAUUUCUAUUUUGAACUUAGUUGGAUAUGAAAAAAAUCAUUGGCAUAGAGUGAUACUCCCGAAUGGAUCACUAUAUAUAUUUUUAAUUAUUUUUUAAUUUUUUAAGGAUCACUAUAUAUUAAUCAACACAAAUUCAAAUUAGUCAAGCUCCAAUUUGAGUGCUAAACAUCUGACAAGAAAUUAAAAAUAAAAUAAAAUAAAAUUAAACAAUAUCAAAACAUGUCGAAUAAAACUACAUACGCAUCACUCUCAAGGGCUUUAUUUGUGAGAUCUUUUAGGUAUAUAUGUUGUUGUAGACAGAACUAUAUAUAAUGGAUUUAAUACAAUUCUUUAAAAAAAAUCAAUAUUCUAUCAAAAAAAUUCUUAAAUUAAUUGUUUUCCCCAUUUUCUCUGGCAUUACGUUAGGGUCCACCGUCACAUAGUCAACUUGUAAAAAAGGUCCUUAUUUAUUAUAAAAGAGAUAAGAAAGACAAAAUAAGGUAGAUCUAAAAUACAACUUUAUAAAAUAAAUCUUGUUGUAUCAUAUGUUUAGUCAAAUGAAUGAACUGUAAAUUUGCCAACUAGCCACCCCCAACUUGUGUUAUGUAGGCACAAUUAAUUUAUUUUUUGGUUAAAAAGAGACAUUAUUUAAUUCACAACAAUAUUAUAUUCAGUAUAAUUUAUAAGUGGAUCUAAAAAGAAUAGUGUGUAUGCAAAUGUUAUUUCUAUCUUUUAAGAUAGAAAAGUAAUUUUUGAUAGAUCAUGGACUCAAGUAAAAACGUUACAAGACAGUCCGAAAAAGGAAAAUAAUGAGAGAAAAGAAGUCAAGAUAAAGGGUGUGUUUGGUAUGAAGGAAAAUGUUUUCUUGGAAAACAAGUAGAUUUUUGACUUAUUUUCUUAUGUUUGGUUGGUGACUAGAACAUAUUUCCGUAAAAAGAUUUUUUAGUAUUUGAUUUAUGAAUGAAAAUUAUUUUUGAGAAAAUAUCUUUUAUUUUUACUAGAGAGUAGAAAAUAAUUUUUGAAUUGAAAUUGAAACUGUUUAAAAAAAAAUAAACUUCUUUUUUUAGGGGGAGGGUGGGGUGGUGGGGGUGGGGCUGNNNNNNNNNNNNNNNNNNNNNNNNNNNNGUAGGGGGCUAGCAGAGGGGGGCGGGGGAUCGGAGCAAGGGUGGGGUAAAAAAAUAAAAAAAUUGAAGUUGAAAAAUAUUUUUUUUAAAAAGCUUUAAAUUUAUUUUUUCAACAAAAAAAUUGUAUUGAAGUUGGAGGAAAGUUUUGGAAAAUGUUUUCCUUACUUUUUGAAGGGAAGUCAUUUUCCUUGAAUUUGAGGAAAAUGAGUUGAUUUGGAAAACAUUUUACCGAACCAAAUCGGAAAAUGUUUUCCUUCCUACCAAACGCACCCAAAGUGUUAAAGAAAGCAUGACAAAGCAAAUUGAAAGUAAUCCUCAUUACAACUAAAUAAUACGAUAAUUAAAGUGUACAAACGAUCAAAUAGUCGCAGAAAUAGAAUAACAAAAACUCUCAAUGUAAUAUUAUGUAUACUAGUAUAUGAAGAAUAAACGAGACAAUUCUCAACUACCUAACUAACUAUCUAUCCGAAUUUAUAUCUUUCAUAACCUCAUAUAUAAGAUCAUGUCCUCCGUUUCCUAAUUUUUAUAUGCCUUAGCUUGUUCUUUUUCAUGAGAAAUAGAAACCACUACAUAUGACUCGAGCCUUGGAUUUUAAUCUUAUCUUUAAUAAGUUGAAGUCACCUUUUUUCCACCCAUUCAUAACUACAAAUGUGGAUUGAACACAUCUCCUUUUCUUUUUUUUUACUUUAUUAUAUUUCACAUGAUGUUAUAAAUUUUAGCAUGUUAAUUAUUAUCUUAUUUUUCUUCGUUUAUAAUAAGAUAGAAUAAGUGGAUAAGGAGGAAAAAGAAAAAGGGAUGUGGCUCUCACUUUCUCCACGCAUAUGUGAAAUCCAAAAAUUGAAUGAAUACACAUAAAGUAUAUAUUGUCAUAAAGAAUGUCACGGCACAAUUCUUGGCAACAUUUUUUGAGUAGUUGAGGAGAGAACGUAAGUCGUUUGGUACUAGCAAUAAGGAUGAAUUACAUAAUUAUAUUUUAUAUUGAUAAGGGAUAUUAGUUAAUAUGAAGAUUAUUUAUCUUAAUAUUUAUAUUACAAUGAUGGAAUAAUAUCUGUCUCAUCUUGUACCAAACAAUAUGAUGCAUAUGCAACUCUAAGGUCUAAUCACAAGGUAAUAAUAUCGGUUGAUGUACUAAAAGGUAAAAACUAAUACACAACAACAAUACGAGAUUCAAUAUUUGAAUUUAUGGGUUUUGGCAAUUCCUCAUUUGUCACUAAGCUCUUAACAUUAUUAUGUUUUUAGGUUUACGAUUUAUUAUAUGUACAUGUUUAGUAUAAUAUUAUCUGAAUUCAAUCUAAUUCGUAUAGUAAACAGUAUGUACAUAACAUCCCCUGAACAACAGUCAACUUAUUCUACUUUCUUCACCUUAAUGAGGUGUAUCGAAUUCUCCAUGAGUGGUCUUCUCUAGUAACGAGUCUUAAAACCACUCGUAAUGUAAUAGACUUUUAAAUGUGAAUCAGGAUUAAUCGAUCGAAUUUGAACGAAAGAAAAUUAAAAAAACUGUAAGUAUAGAAUUUGAAGGAAAGAAAACUAGAGGCAAAAAAUGUCAAUUGCUGAUUGGUCCCUUCCAUGAUGAUUAUGGGCGGAAAUUGGGAAGAAAUAAAAAUGCUUUGACAAAUCAAGCCCAAUUUUGGAAUUGUCCCCUAAUUCUAUCCUUUGACUUUUGACUCUUCAAUUACUCAUUUUUUAAUUGUUUUUAAUCACAUUAUUUUGAAAAAUCAAGAGUUAAAAAAAACUAUUAAAUUUUCACACCGCAUUUUUUGCACAAUAAAAUAAAGGGAAAUUAAAAUUGUGCAGAAUAGUAAAAAUUUAAAUCAUAUUAAAUGUUUUAUUACUAUUUGGGGAAAUUUUAAUUUGCAAUGAUAGUUAAUUUCGCCAAUCUUGCUAUUCAUCUGAUUUGUAAUUUGCAUGUUUUAUAUAAAUUCAGAAUUUGUAUGAUUCAGUUCCUGAUUAUAUAAAUUCAAAAUUUUGUAUAUGCUUACCCUAAGUAUUUGUAUACGGUUUAUGAAAAAAUCAUAGUAAUAAAUUACCCUAUUUGUAUAGUGGCAAGCGAAAUAUUCAAAUGAAGUUCUAAAAAAGUUCUUAAAUGUAUAAAUACAAAAUUUGUAUAUACUUACCAUAUUUGUAUAUUCGCAAGCGAAAUAUACAAACAAACAAAAAUAUACAACCACAACCUCCAUAGCAAACGAAAUUAUAGAUAUGAAGUGCAAUUAUCAAAACUAUAAUUAUAAAGCCUUAUUAUAUCUAUUAUAUUUGCUAUUUCUGAAAUUUUCAAUACAAGAAAGUGUUUUCUAUUACGGAAUUUUGAAGAUUAAAAAAAAGGGUAACUUUCUUCAAUUUUUACAAAGGGCAAAAAUUGAAGCGUUUUUAUUUUUUUAAAAAAUGAAAAUGGCUGCCUUGGGAGGAUUUUUAUUAAAAAUAAAUAAAUUGAAAAUGGCUGCCUUGGCAGCGUUUUUAUUAUUUUUAUUUAAAAAAUAUUAUUUUGAAAAAAAAAUUGCUGACAAGGCAGCGAAAUUCCUCCUCCAAUUUUUUUAUUUUUUUUAAUUGUAACUCAAACAUUCACAUGUAACGGCAUCAAUAUUGUGUCAUAGGAAAAUCGCUUCGUCAGGAGCGACUUUGCCUUUUUGAUUUAAAAAAAAUUGAUGUGCCUUUUUUGAAAUUUUUAUUAAUUUUUUUUGCCCUUUUGACUUCGGACUCGAGAAAUUACGUACACUAAUUAACUAUGUUCUUUGUUUUCUUGAAUUUUCUAUUGAGUUGUUCAACUGUCAAAUAGAUUUGUUGUUUUGAUUUUUCUAAUUAAGUUCCUUAAUCGUUUUCUCCACCAAAAUGUAUUGUAUACUUAUUAAGAUAAUUUUUUAAAAAAAAUUACUGGUGAGGAGGACUUGGGAGUCAGGAUAAGACUCGAUUCUCGUAUAUAUUAUGAUUUAAAAGUCAAAUUAGUUAUCAAUUUAAGUAUUUCUAUAACAAAUAAAAUAAUAAAGAUAUUGAACAUAACCGCAUGAAUAAUCUCACACUAACCCGUCAAUUUGGGAUCCAAAUUAGAGAUUUUAACGUAACCUCAAAAGUUAGCUCAAGAGGCAAAGAUUUUGUCCAAACUCUAUUAAAGAGAUCACUCAUUCCUUAAAGGACCGAUGUAAGACUCUUCACACACAUCCAGUGCAGCGCAAUUGAAUAUGUAAGGGGCCAACAUCAGAAAUAAGAAUUGAGAUGGGAUCAAAAGAAAUCUUUAACCGCGAUUUAUUGAUAUACUUUUAAAAUAUUUUAAAUUAUUAAUUUGUGUGAUUUAUAGUACUUUUUAUAUAGUUUACAAAGAUGUAUCUUACAAAAUGUAUGUGUCUGAAUACGCAGUCAAAGAAAAUAAGUUUGGAUCUCGAAAUUUAAAUUGUGUCAUAUAAAUUGAGACAGAAGGAAUAAUAUUAUAAAUAUUUGUCAUUUUUUUAUCAUUUUUUUAUCAUGAGCAAAAAAGUAUUUAUUGUUCUUGAAAGUAAAUAAUUUUUUUACUUAUUAUUAAAUGUAAUUUUCAAAAUAAUAAACUGGAUAAAAUUAGAGUUAAUUAUGCCUUAAUUAUAUGCAUACAGCAUACUACAUUUCGAUCUAUGGGAACAAAGGGGCUAUAACACAAAUACUAAUUAAAACCCCAAAAAAAUAAAUGUUAACAUAUCGUGAUCCAAUGGCAGUUCCAUGUUUAUUUUUAAAAAAUAAAUUAAAAAGUCCAAAUCAACUUUUUUUUUCAUUCGGUGUCAAUAUAUGUAUUAGAACCCAAUUAAAUUAGAUUUGUGUCAUGUAGGGCUCCAUUCAAGAGGAAUGGGGAACGCUUCAAAAAAAAUUCAUACACACGAUUCAAAUCCAAAACCUAUAAUUAAGAAGAAAAAAAAAACAAGUCUCAUACAUUGCACUACAUUCGUCAAUGAUAGGUCCAAAUCAACUUGCAUACACAUGAAUAGCAAAAGCCAUGUGGGAGAAGAAAAAACGGUACACAAAAGGAGGAAAGUAGUGGGAAACAAGGAUUAACAUUUAAUUUUUCAAAAUUAAAAUUGAUAAUAAGAGAAACAUCAGAGAAUUUUCUAAACGACCCUAAGUCUGAUUAUUAAUUAAAACUAUACGUUAUAAAAUUAACUCACAAAAUAUAAUUUGUCUAAUAUAUUUAAAUUUGGCUGGGUUAUUCAUACGCUUAUUUAUUAACUUAAUCACUUUUAGUUCAUCAAAAUUGUGUUGAUAUAUAAUCUAAUUUAUCUCAUGAGAAAUUUGGUAAAAAGAAUUCAAGUAGACUUUUUUUUUAAUUGGAUACGUUAUAUUAAUUUUUUUAUAAAAGAACAAAUAAGAUAAUUAGUCAAAAUUGAAUAGAUUGGAUUUGACUCGAAUUCAACCCGAAUAACAUAUUGACUAGCUAUACUAAUUUUGACUCGUAUAAAUUCUAACAAAAACAUUUAACUAAUAUUCAACGUUUACUCCUAUGUACUUUUUGUUCAACAUGUAAUUAAACAACCUUAGUUUUUUUCAUAAUUAUCUAUUCAUCUCUAUGAGCUUUUUUUUCUCUAUAAAUACUCUUCUCACCCUUUCUUUCUACUUCAUACCAAUUCUCUCUCUUUCUAUUUAACACAAAAAGAAAGAAUUAAAGAUGGAGAUUUUAAGAAAAUCUUCUUCUCUUUGGGCUUUGCCAAUUCUUUUGUUGUGCUUCUUUAUCAACAAUGGAGUAUUUGUUGAUGCUUCUCACAAAGUUUAUAUGCACUUGCAAUCUACUACUAGCCAUGUUGAUGCUAGCAAGGUCCAUAGAACUGGUUAUCAUUUUCAACCUCCUAAAAACUGGAUUAA
rnacentral:lncRNA from 1 species